AUGCAUCAGAGAGGAGGAGCGCAGAGCCCGGACAGGCAGAGGGCACGAGGGACACUCACAGCCCCACCCUGCCUGUUCUGCAGGGCUGGAGGGGUCCGGAGCGGCCCUGGGGCUCUUUUGGCUAGGACUUCUGAGCCCUCCCCCGGUUUCUGGAUGCAGAGGGGCACCCCGAAGGCAGGGCAGUGUGUGAUCCAUUGCUUUCUCUCCAUAGCCCAUUCCCCGGUGUGCCUGAUACUUGGUGGUUUGUUGCCAAAUGAACAAACCUAUUGGCUGAGCAGCAGGGAAGCGGCCCAGGGACUGCGCAGCCUGGGUCAUCCUCACCCUCAUCCCACUGGUACACGCAGCCCGGACAGAACCCUGAGGCACUGCCUCUGCCUGGGUGGGCUCCGGGGCAGUCAGCCGAGACGCCGGCACACAGCAAACAGCCAGGGGACGCUUUCUCUUCUCUCCACGGCCGCCCGGUUGGGAAGCCACUCAGAGGGCCGGGGGUAAGUGUGGGCAGCUGGGAGACACCGAGAUGACCGAGCCCUGCGUAGCCCUCAGUGCCUAGUGUGGUCCCCUUGUUUGUCCGCUUGCUUUUUACUCCAGGGAGACCAGAAGCUCCCUGGAGCCAGCGGGGUCUCCUGCCCCAUCUCCUGCCCAGAUCUGCUCACCUAAGCAGAAGGCAUGAGUGUUGAGCCCUUCUAGAAGCUACCAACACAUCCAGUGGGGCAACUCUGAGACGUUGCUUUCAGGGAACGAAACAUUCUACAUUGCCCCAGGCACGCGUGUCCAUGUGUGUGCACAGAGAAUUGGAGCCACAUUUUGAGAAAAUAGUACUCACCUUUAACACGAAACAUGUCUGUUCUGUUCUGUCUUAACCUAGGAUCUGGUUUUUUGUUUUUGUUUAUUUGACAGGCAGCCACACAAAGAGAGAGAGAGAGAGAGAGGACUCCCACCUGCUGGUUCACUCCCCUAAUGCCUGCAGUGGUGGUGACUGGGCUGGGAGUCAGGAACUCAAUCCAAGUCUUCCAUGUGGCUGAUUGAUAGGUACCCAAUGAUUGGAGCCUCCUAGGGUCUGCACUGGCAAAAGCUGAAACAGAGCCGAGUCGGGACUCAAAUCCAGGUACUGAUAUGGGAUCCAGGCAUCCCAAGUGGCGUCUUAGCCACCAGGCCUCUUCCAAGUCUCAGCUAUAAUUUACUCUUUAUUUUUCAAAAAUAUUUACUUAUUUAUUUUGAAAGUCAGGGUUACAGAGAGAAGGGAGAAACGUAGAGUGAGAGAGAUUUUCCAUCCGUUGGUUCACUCGCCAGAUGGCCACAACAGCCAGCAAUGUGUCAGGCAAAAGCCAGGAGCCAGGAGCUUCAUUCGGGUGUCAUGUGGCUGACAGGGGCUCAGACUCUUGGGCCAUCUUCCUCUGCUUUUCCCAGGCCAUUAGCAGGGAGCCGGAUUGGAAGUGGACCACCUGGGACAGGAACAGCUGUCCAAAUGGGAUGCCGGCAUCACAGGUGGUGGCUUUACCCACUGCACCACGAUGCCGGCUCCUGGUCUCAGCUUUUAAAAUACUACCUUGACCUAUGAAAUCAGUUUUAUGAUACAUUCGUGGAAAGUGACCCAGAAUCUGGAAAAUUCCCAUCUGGCCCUGUGGCUCAGCGUUCUGGGAAGGGCUUUGCUGAAAGCCACACGAGAGCACCCACCCCCACCCUGCAGGCUGGGCAGGGCCAAAGCCCAGGGUCUGCCCUUCUCUCCGGCUCCUCGGGUGUCCUGCCAGAGCCCUGCUCUGGGGUCACCCUGUGCGGGACUCAAGGAUUCCACAGGGAAAAGACACGGGGAAGCAGCACCUCUGUCCGUAUUCCUGAAGAAAUAGUAGAGGCCGGCGCCACGGCUCAAUAGGCUAAUCCUCCACCUGCUGCGCCUGCACCCCGGGUUUUGUCCCGGUCAGGGCACCGGAUUCUGUCCUGGUUGCCCCUCUUCCAGGCCAGCUCUCUGCUGUGGCCAGGGAGUGCAGUGGAGGAUGGCCAGAGUGCUUGGGCCCUGCACCCCAUGGGAGACCAGGAGAAGCACCUGGCUCCUGCCUUCGGAUCAGCGCGAUGUGCCGGCCGUAGCGCGGUGGCCAUUGGAGGGUGAACCAACGGCAAAAGGAAGACCUUCUUCUCUGUCUCUCUCUCUCACUGUCCACUCUGCCUGUCACACACACAAAAAAAGAGAGAGAAGUGACAGGUGGCUCACCUGCUCUGCCACCCCCCCCCCCCCCCCCAAUAAAAAAAAGGGGCGCAGCCUGUAUCA
ensembl:lncRNA